rnacentral:rRNA from 1 species
AUGAACGCUGGCGGCGUGGAUAAGGCAUGCAAGUCGAAAGGGUUUAGACCCUUGGCGAACGAGGUAGUAACACGUAGGUACGCACCCGGAAGUCGAGAAUAACUCGUCGAAAGGCGAGAUAAUACUCGAUGGUCUCGCGAGAGUAAAGAUUUAUCGCUUCCGGAGCGGCCUGCGGAGUAUCAGCUAGUUGGUAAGGUAAUGGCUUACCAAGGCGAUGACGCUUAGGGGAGGUGAGAGCCUGACCCCCACCGAUGGGACUGAGAUACGGCCCAUACACCUACGGGUGGCUGCAGUCGAGAAUCUUCCACAAUGGGCGAAAGCCUGAUGGAGCGACGCCGCGUGGUGGAUGAAGCCCUUCGGGGCGUAAACACCUUUUAUGAGGGAGGAAUUUUAUUGACGGUACCUCAUGAAUAAGGGGUUGCUAAACUCGU